CCUACGGGAGGCAGCAGUGAGGAAUAUUGGUCAAUGGACGAGAGUCUGAACCAGCCAAGUAGCGUGAAGGAUGACUGCCCUAUGGGUUGUAAACUUCUUUUAUAUGGGAAUAAAAUGUUCUAUGUGUGGGAUUUUGUAUGUACCAUAUGAAUAAGGAUCGGCUAACUCCGUGCCAGCAGCCGCGGUAAUACGGAGGAUCCGAGCGUUAUCCGGAUUUAUUGGGUUUAAAGGGAGCGUAGGUGGAUUGUUAAGUCAGUUGUGAAAGUUUGCGGCUCAACCGUAAAAUUGCAGUUGAAACUGGCAGUCUUGAGUACAGUAGAGGUGGGCGGAAUUCGUGGUGUAGCGGUGAAAUGCUUAGAUAUCACGAAGAACUCCGAUUGCGAAGGCAGUUCACUGGACUGCAACUGACGCUGAGGCUCGAAAGUGUGGGUAUCAAACAGGAUUAGAUACCCUUGUAGUC
rnacentral:rRNA from 1 species